GUGGGGAAUUUUGGACAAUGGGCGAAAGCCUGAUCCAGCAAUGCCGCGUGUGUGAAGAAGGCCUUCGGGUUGUAAAGCUCUGUGGGGAGGGAAGAAAAAGCGGGAGAGUAACUGCUCUCGUGUUGACGGUACCUCCUUAGCAAGCACCGGCUAACUCUGUGCCAGCAGCCGCGGUAAUACAGAGGGUGCAAACGUUGCUCGGAAUUACUGGGCGUAAAGCGCGUGUAGGCUGACAUGCAAGUCGGGUGUGAAAUCCCAGGGCUCAACCUUGGAACUGCACUAGAAACUGCACGUCUUGAGUACUGGAGAGGGAAGCGGAAUUACGGGUGUAGAGGUGAAAUUCGUAGAUAUCCGGAGGAACACCAGUGGCGAAGGCGGCUUCCUGGACAGUAACUGACGCUGAGACGCGAAAGCGUGGGGAGCAAACAGGAUUAGAAACCCGGGUAGUCC
rnacentral:rRNA from 1 species